rnacentral:rRNA from 1 species
GAUGAACGCUGGCGGCGUGCUUAACACAUGCAAGUCGAACGGUGAACGGGGGUGCUUGCUCCCUCCGGGUGAGUGGCGAACGGGUGAGUAACACGUGAGCAAGCUGCCCCGAACUCUGGGAUAACUGCUGGAAACGACGCCUAAUACCGGAUACGACCCGCUAGGGCAUGCUCUCCGCGCGCAAAGAACUUCGGUUCGGGCUGAGAUAGCUGCCCAUGAGCUUGUUGGUGGGGUAAGGACUCACCAAGACGAGGACGGGUAGCCGGCGGGAGAGGGUGAACGGCCCCACUGGGGCUACGACGCGGCCCACUCUCCUACUGGGGGCGGCAGUGGAGAGUAUUGCGCAGUGGGCGGCGACCGGAUGCUGCAGCACCGCGGCGGGGAGGGCGACCUUCAACUUGUAGACCACUUUUGGCCUGGAAGAAGAGAAAGUGACGGUAGCUGCAGAAUAAGCACCGGCUAACUACGUG